rnacentral:lncRNA from 1 species
GGGAAUUUGAUCUAGGAAGAUGUGUUUCAGAUUCUCGGAAACUGGAAUAAUGCUUUCACAAACUUUAAGUUUCAUUAUCCUAAAAUGUUAUCGCAGCUCGCCAGGAAAGGAACGCACAAUUAUUUCUCCCUCCAAUGUCGAAGGUUGAGAAUGGCAUUAUUAUAAGAGGCUGAGGCUGGACCACCUGACCAUAACAAAAGCUCCAUGCCUUCGUCCAGACACUUUUCAGGACGGUAAUUUUUAUUCACACGUGAAUCAAAACACCUUGGUUGUUCUUUGAACACAGCACAAAAGAUUUGUUGUCCAUUAGGAUGGCGAAAAAAGAAAAAACUUCCAUUUUAAUUUUCUUUUUGGUAGACAAGGGUUAAUAGCACUCAUGUGGCCUUGAACCUCUCUAUGCCAGUACAAUUGAUCAAUCAGCAUUUCACCGAUUGCUUCACUCCUCCUUCUCCCCAUAAGAGGAGAGAAACCCUUGCAAAACGUGUUUGUUCUGUUUGUUAUUCUGGAUAAAGCCGAUAACGAGUUGCAGCUGCUGAACAGGGUGUACUGCUUGCCGAGGCCACGGCUGUAACUUAUAGAUAGAACAGAGCAGCCAAAGAUGUGCCUCGGGCUGGAGCCAGCUCUGCAAAUAGGCCACACUCUGGGCUAUGAUACAUGCAUUUCAUUAGCUGACAAUUUACUCCUGGAGAAGCUUGAUUGGCGACAGACUCAAAAAGAGAGAAUUUGAAAUAUCACUCCUCAGCUCAAAGUGUUUUUCUCUGUUUCUGACCUGAAGGAUUGGCUUAUGUCAGUCUCAAUCAAGAUGCCUUUAGUAGUACUUGAGGCUGACUUGGAACAAUAUGGGUCCCUCUGGACAGAGUGUACACCUGAUGAUUCGUGUCUUGGGGCAAUGCCUGAGGCCGCACAGUCCCUAGUGCUGAAACUGAGCUCACGCCCAACUCAACUGAGUUUUGUGCCUCUUCCCUGUGUACUUAAGGGCUGUGGGCCAAAAAGACAUGCAGCCAACAAUCUGCCCUGAACCAUUAAACAGCUCUCUAAACCGAGCUGAUGGGGAACAGAGUAUCAUUGUCCAUUAUUUAUAAUGUGAUCUUCUACUUUUAUCCUCAAUUAUUAAGACACAAGGAAAACAAGAACAGUCAACAUUAUAAGGAUUGGGUCAAAAUGAAUACAUGCUUUGAGCAUAAACCAGAAUCAAGAUAACUCUUGUGCUUGCUUGAAAAAAGUUUUCAAGCCUUCAUCCUUUAGCAAGUUGCUCUGACUCCUCAGACCUCUGUUUGUUCACAGGUAGAAUGGGAAUGAUCCUCACAGCUGUGGAGGGUUAUCCAGAGACUUCUGAUAAAGAUAUCAUGAUGCUCCUUUUAAGUGGCGGUGUGACAACAUCAACAUGCUCACUCAACAGAACGUGUGGCAGCAACAUCCAACAUGGCUCGCCCACUCAACUUACACUUUGACUGGUGGAGGAGCUGCUAGGAAAGGUCAGCAGAGGGCAGGAAAUGAAUUGAAAAGUCACCAGCUGAUCAAACCACGGGGAGCAGGGGAAAAAUGUUAGCUAGCUGCCUGUUCUUCAAUAGCUCUCCUUAAUGAACGAGAGGGACAAAUGAUCACUUCCUGAAAAAAGAUAGCUUCCUGUGAAUUCUUUAAUAAUAAUUUCACUGAUCUCCCUGGCCAAGCCCUUAUCUGUCCCAAGACCCCUGAGCUCUCUUCUUAGAAGUAAAUGCAUACGGAGCAUCCA